rnacentral:rRNA from 1 species
GACGAACGCUGGCGGCGUGCCUAAUACAUGCAAGUUGAGCGCUGAAGGUUGGUACUUGUACCGACUGGAUGAGCAGCGAACGGGUGAGUAACGCGUGGGGAAUCUGCCUUUGAGCGGGGGACAACAUUUGGAAACGAAUGCUAAUACCGCAUAAAAACUUUAAACACAAGUUUUAAGUUUGAAAGAUGCAAUUGCAUCACUCAAAGAUGAUCCCGCGUUGUAUUAGCUGGUUGGUGAGGUAAAGGCUCACCAAGGCGAUGAUACAUAGCCGACCUGAGAGGGUGAUCGGCCACAUUGGGACUGAGACACGGCCCAAACUCCUACGGGAGGCAGCAGUAGGGAAUCUUCGGCAAUGGACGAAAGUCUGACCGAGCAACGCCGCGUGAGUGAAGAAGGGUUUCGGAUCGUAAAACUCUGUUGGUAGAGAAGAACGUUGGUGAGAGUGGAAAGCUCAUCAAGUGACGGUAACUACCCAGAAAGGGACGGCUAACUACGUG